GACCCGAAACACUUAGAGGGCCAGGGCU
rnacentral:piRNA from 1 species